GGGUGCAAUCAUACCGACACUAAUGUACUGGAUCUCAUCAAAACUUCGCAGUUAAGCGUACUUGGGAGAGAGUAUUACUAAGUUGGGUGACACUUGGAAAGUUUUUGUGUUGCACUCU
rnacentral:rRNA from 1 species